rnacentral:rRNA from 1 species
GACAGAGGCCUCAAGCGUUUAGGCGGAAUCACUGGGCUUAAAGCGUGUGUAGGCGGGUCGUUAAGUACCUUGUGAAAUCCCACGGCUCACCCGUGGAACUGCUGGGUAUACUGGCGAUCUUGGGCCAACUAGGGGCAACUGGAACAAGCGGUGGAGCGGUGAAAUGCGUAGAUAUCGCUUGGAACGCCGAAGGUGAAAACAGGCUGCUGGGGUUGCGCCGACGCUGAGACACGAAAGCCAGGGGAGCAAACGGG